CCGAUGCAAACUACGAAUACCGAAGAAUGUUAUCACGGGAGACACACGGCGGGUGCUAACGUCCGUCGUGAAGAGGGAAACAACCCAGACCGCCAGCUAAGGUCCCAAAGUCAUGGUUAAGUGGGAAACGAUGUGGGAAGGCACAGACAGCCAGGAUGUUGGCUUAGAAGCAGCCAUCAUUUAAAGAAAGCGUAAUAGCUCACUGGUCGAGUCGGCCUGCGCGGAAGAUGUAACGGGGCUAAACCAUGCACCGAAGCUGCGGCAGCGACACUAUGUGUUGUUGGGUAGGGGAGCGUUCUGUAAGCCUGCGAAGGUGACCUGUGAGGGUUGCUGGAGGUAUCAGAAGUGCGAAUGCUGACAUAAGUAACGAUAAAGCGGGUGAAAAGCCCGCUCGCCGGAAGACCAAGGGUUCCUGUCCAACGUUAAUCGGGGCAGGGUGAGUCGACCCCUAAGGCGAGGCCGAAAGGCGUAGUCGAUGGGAAACAGGUUAAUAUUCCUGUACUUGGUGUUACUGCGAAGGGGGGACGGAGAAGGCUAUGUUAGCCGGGCGACGGUUGUCCCGGUUUAAGCAUGUAGGCUGAUUAUCCAGGCAAAUCCGGAUAAUCAAGGCUGAGGUGUGAUGACGAGGCACUACGGUGCUGAAGUAACAAAUGCCCUGCUUCCAGGAAAAGCCUCUAAGCAUCAGGUAACAUCAAAUCGUACCCCAAACCGACACAGGUGGUCAGGUAGAGAAUACCAAGGCGCUUGAGAGAACUCGGGUGAAGGAACUAGGCAAAAUGGUGCCGUAACUUCGGGAGAAGGCACGCUGGUGUGUAGGUGAAGUCCCUGCGGAUGGAGCUGAGACCAGUCGAAGAUACCAGCUGGCUGCAACUGUUUAUUAAAAACACAGCACUGUGCAAACACGAAAGUGGACGUAUACGGUGUGACGCCUGCCCGGUGCCGGAAGGUUAAUUGAUGGGGUUAUCCGUAAGGAGAAGCUCUUGAUCGAAGCCCCGGUAAACGGCGGCCGUAACUAUAACGGUCCUAAGGUAGCGAAAUUCCUUGUCGGGUAAGUUCCGACCUGCACGAAUGGCGUAAUGAUGGCCAGGCUGUCUCCACCCGAGACUCAGUGAAAUUGAACUCGCUGUGAAGAUGCAGUGUACCCGCGGCAAGACGGAAAGACCCCGUGAACCUUUACUAUAGCUUGACACUGAACAUUGAGCCUUGAUGUGUAGGAUAGGUGGGAGGCUUUGAAGCGUGGACGCCAGUCUGCGUGGAGCCAACCUUGAAAUACCACCCUUUAAUGUUUGAUGUUCUAACGUUGGCCCCUUACCGGGGUUGCGGACAGUGUCUGGUGGGUAGUUUGACUGGGGCGGUCUCCUCCCAAAGCGUAACGGAGGAGCACGAAGGUUAGCUAAUCCUGGUCGGACAUCAGGAGGUUAGUGCAAUGGCAUAAGCUAGCUUGACUGCGAGCGUGACGGCGCGAGCAGGUGCGAAAGCAGGUCAUAGUGAUCCGGUGGUUCUGAAUGGAAGGGCCAUCGCUCAACGGAUAAAAGGUACUCCGGGGAUAACAGGCUGAUACCGCCCAAGAGUUCAUAUCGACGGCGGUGUUUGGCACCUCGAUGUCGGCUCAUCACAUCCUGGGGCUGAAGUAGGUCCCAAGGGUAUGGCUGUUCGCCAUUUAAAGUGGUACGCGAGCUGGGUUUAGAACGUCGUGAGACAGUUCGGUCCCUAUCUGCCGUGGGCGCUGGAGAAUUGAGGGGGGCUGCUCCUAGUACGAGAGGACCGGAGUGGACGCAUCACUGGUGUUCGGGUUGUCAUGCCAAUGGCACUGCCCGGUAGCUAAAUGCGGAAGAGAUAAGUGCUGAAAGCAUCUAAGCACGAAACUUGCCCCGAGAUGAGUUCUCCCUGAGACUUUAAGUCUCCUGAAGGAACGUUAAAGACGAUGACGUUGAUAGGCCGGGUGUGUAAGCGCAGCGAUGCGUUGAGCUAACCGGUACUAAUGAACCGUGAGGCUUAACCUUACAACGCCGAAG
rnacentral:rRNA from 1 species